rnacentral:rRNA from 1 species
UCAGUCUAGGGCAUACUACCCUGAACACCCCAAUCUCAUCUGACCUUGGCAGCUAAGCAGGGUUGGCCUGGUUAGUACUUGGAUGGGAGAAAGAUUAUCAGAGGAGACUGCU